GGAUUGCACUUGGCAGGCGUGGACUACAAAGGAGCUCAGGGUGAGCGCGCUGGGAGGAGAGCAGAGGCAAGCAGACUAGCAAGUCUCUCCGCGAAGCUCCUUCUUCAAGAACCAGAGCCCAACAACCACUGCCGCCCCAAGAGGGUGGGCAGACAGGACCUUUGGCAAACACUGGUGCCACAGGUUUUGAUUUGGGUUGGGGGUGGGGUGGGGUGUGGGGAGGACCUAGAAGAGCCAGUACUAGAGAGCGAAGAGGCAGGUUGGUAUGAGUUGCGCACAUUAGUUUGUCCUGGUAGUUUUGUGUUUGUUUGUUUGGAUUUCUGUUUGUUUUGUUUGUUUUGUUUUGUUUGGGGAGGUUAUUUUUUUUUAUAAGAAAGCAGACAUUUUAUUAGCACACAGCUUGCCUUCUCUCCUGGACUAAAGGAGGCUUUGGGACUCAAGCAUGCAGUUUUCCCAAUCCUUAUUCCUCUACAGACUUGCAAUGAGCAGAAGUCAUUCUCUGUGUUAUAUUUAUUCAUCUAACGUACAACCCUAUGAAUUCCGCAUGCAUUUAGCUGUUGAGAGGCGACCGCUUCUGAACUGAGUAUCUAAUAGUUGCAACUGAGUCAACCUUUUUGUUCUUCCAGUUUUCUCUCACAAUGGGAGUUUUGGGGAUCUUCUGGAAAGUUGCUUCCGAACAUAAGAGCUUUGAUGUUUGUGCUCUCAGGGAAGUCUAUACUUUUUCCUCAAAGAAGACAAUUCCAGCUCUUGCUUAACAUCUCACUGAUGCUCAGAAAAACUAAGACUAGUAAUGACAUAGUUAGGGCCUCUGUGUCAUAGGAGUUGUGUGCUUUUUCAGCCUGCAAGCUUUUGUUUCACAGUGAGUGUGUGUGUGUGUUUAUGAAAUAAUUUUCUUUCUUUUCCUUUCAAGAUGCACUGAUGAACAAACCAGAAAAGACAGCAUAGUCAUACAUGCUGGAUUUUGUAAGUCUCUUUCCUUCCUUUUCAGAAAGACUGGGACGGGGUGGGGAGAACUAAGAAGCCAAGCCUUGUCUUCAAUUUCCAGUUCUGGGACCACACUUCCACUCUCUCUUUUCUCUUCAAUGUUCCUUGUCUUCUUGGGAAAGUGGACUGCAUUGAUUCCUUGGGCAACUAGGGGAAAUUAUAGACACUGGCCUUUCAGGACUGGCUUGCCUAUCUGGUGUGUGAGAGAAUUUCUCCCAAUUGGUUCUGGUCUACAACUGGAGUGUCUUACUUACCAGGGGCUCAACUUCUUAAACUAUCAACUCCCAGUAGUCCUGUAGCUACUAGCAAGUAACAGAAAACACAUUAAAGGGCAGCAGGCCUUCCUACUCAUCAAAAAUGCUCAGAGUAUUCUACAGAGACUGUGUUCAGAGCAACUCAAUGGUUCUUGGCUCUAGGGUGAUGCCAUUAUGUGUGAGUCUCUCUAGGGCUGUUGGUACCCGGGAGUUUUUGGGUGCUAGUGGAUCUAGCUUUGCUACACAUAGGACACAUGGCCAUAUCAAAGAGAUGUGCCCAGAGAAAUCAAUGAGUUUCCAUGAAGACCACUUCCCCCCUUUUCUCCCUCCUCCUUUUAACUGCCUGGCUUCUGAAGUGGCUCCCUAGCUUAUAGAAGUUAAACAUUUCAACUCUCAAAUAUGAGGCUCUCCCUUAGAUUUUUUUUUCCUCAAGGUUCUCAAGCAAAAUUGCCAGUGCCACAAUGUUAUGAUGGAAGGAUGCUGAAAUGACAGGCCUAGUAGACGCUUGUCUUAAUCAUCGGCUUCUUAAUUUAGUUUUAGAGCUCUAUGUGUGUGUGUGUAUACCCACUCCAUGCACAUAUGCGCGCCCUCGAUGACGUUAGGGGUGCGUGCAUGAGCCUGCUGAGAGCAGCCUCUGACAACCUGCAGCUCCCUAAUGAGUGACGAGGCAGGGCUGCCUAGGAAAAGUCACACUUCCCUGGUGUGAAGACCUCUUACUGGGAAGUUUAGUUCACUACUGUUCUCGCAAACCUAAUCGUAUAACCUGUAACCAAAACCCACAGAACAAGGAUACAACACGCUAAAGAGUAACUUCUAAUCACUAAAUGUUAGCACCAUUACCUGCUGUUAGGAAGAGAUUAUAGACAAGUUGGCUCUAGGGAAGGCAGACUUCAUUUGUUACAGAACCACUGAAAUACCUGGAUGUCUCAGCAUGGGAUCUACUGACUCCCACAUGUCAAGAGGUCACAAACCGUCCUGUGCAUUUGUAAGAAGAGAACUUUAGCUUGAGUUUGUCUCUGCUCCCAGGGGAAAGAUGGAAGUUGAUAAAUAUGGCCCACCCUUGUUACUAGAAAGUAAAGAUGGCCCAAAACAAAACAAAACAAUGUACCCAAGAAAGAAAAUGCAACAUCCAUCCACCCUCAAAGAUGGAAUAAAAAUAAGCUGCCCCCUGCUCGAAUGAAGUGCGCUGUGUAAGCUUGGAGAUUAAUUUUAAAAUUGACAAGGAAUAAUCUACACUUCUCCAGCAACUCUUCUGCUGAAAUUGCUCGCUCUACAAUUCUUGUCCUUUUUUUUUUUUGAGUGAGUAGGUAGUGGAUGAGAGCUGAGGUCUACGAGGUCACCACUAUGUAAACUAACAGAUCACAUUUACUCUGGUGUGCUCUUCUAUUCAUUACUUUCCUAAGACUACACAUUUGCAAAUUUAUAUGUGUGAGGUUAAAUUGAUUAGGAGGGAAAAUUAUACUGGUGGGGGGAUUUGUUUCCGGUCUGAGACCACUGGCUGCCUGCCCUCUGUCUUCUGAAGGUAAUCACAGCGACUAGGAGGCUGAAAACAGGGCUUUAUGUGCAGAGGGAAGAGGCCCUCGGUGGACGUGGGCAGGACUUCAAAUCCAAUUUGCACCCAAAUUGGUUGGUAGGAUAUACAAAGCCUCAUCCAGAGACUUUCAACUUCACAAUACUUUGUCCAGGAACUCCUUCCCCCUCUGCUUCAGCUAGCAGCAGAUCUAAAAAGAAACCAUUGCUUACACAAAUAUAAGCCUCUGAGUAAACAGUGCAUGUUUUGUUGAACAAGCCUGAUAUACAUAUGUGUGUGCAUUCUGAUAUAUAGCCCCAUCUCACCAUAAAGAACAAGUAAAAUUAUUUAAAGGGAUUCAAACUUGCUUUUUCGGGAAUUGCAAAUAACCUUUGCAUCAGGAAACUAGUUUUAAUAUUAUUUCAAACUAUAUGCUAUGUUUUUACGAUCAAUCAUCCUGCUUUGAGAGACUCGCAUUCACGUAACCUUAAAAUAACACAGCACACCCUUAAUCUGCAUGCAAAACAAUUUUCAAGCCGCCAUAAGCCUUGACAUAUAAAAUCAGAGUAUUGCAGCUCUCACUGUACAAAACCCAGUUUUUGCUCCUUGAAAGUAAAC
rnacentral:lncRNA from 1 species